UACGGAGGGGGCUAGCGUUGUUCGGAAUUACUGGGCGUAAAGGGCGUGUAGGCGGGUUCAUAAGUCGGGGGUGAAAGCCCGGGGCUCAACUUAGGAACGGCCUUAGAUACUGUGGGACUUGAGUAAGGGAGAGGUGAGCGGAAUUCCGAGUGUAGAGGUGAAAUUCGUAGAUAUUUGGAGGAACAACAGAGGCGAAGGCGGCUCGCUGGACAGGAACUGACGCUGAGGCGCGAAAGCGUGGGGAGCAAACAGG
rnacentral:rRNA from 1 species